rnacentral:rRNA from 1 species
CCCUUAGAUGUCCGGGGCUGCACGCGCGCUACACUGAAGGAAUCAGCGUGCUAAAACCAUUGUCGAAAGGCAUUGGUAAACCCAUUAAAAUCCUACGUGAUUGGGAUCGGGAAUUGCAAUUAUUUCCCUUGAACGAGGAAUUCCCAGUAAGUGUGGGUCAUAAGCUCGCGUUGAUUACGUCCCUGCCCUUUGUACACACCGCCCGUCGCUGCCCGGGACUGAGCCGUUUCGAGAAAAGCGGGGACUGUUGCUGUCGGGGCUUUCGGGCCUUGGCUUCGGUGGAAACCGCUUUAAUCGCAGUGGCUUGAACCGGGCAAAANUCGUANCA